AACGUAGGACACAAGCGUUAUCUGGAGUUACUGGGCGUAAAGGGCGUGUAGGCGGCCGUGUAAGUCUAUUCUGAAAGCUCCUGGCUAAACUGGGAGAGGCGAAUGGAGACUGCAUAUCUAGAGUGAGGAAGAGGAAAGUGGAAUUCCGCGUGUAGUGGUGAAAUGCGUAGAGAUGUGGAGGAACACCGAUGGCGAAGGCAGCCUCCUGGGCCGACACUGACGCUGAGGGCACGAAAGCGUGGGGAGCAAACAGG
rnacentral:rRNA from 1 species